rnacentral:rRNA from 1 species
AUUGAACGCUGGCGGCAUGCCUUACACAUGCAAGUCGAACGGCAGCACGGGAGCAAUCCUGGUGGCGAGUGGCGAACGGGUGAGUAAAGUAUCGGAACGUGCCCAGUCGUGGGGGAUAACGUAGCGAAAGUUACGCUAAUACCGCCUACGAUCUAUGGAUGAAAGCGGGGGAUCGCAAGACCUCGCGCGAUUGGAGCGGCCGAUAUCCGAUUAGGUAGUUGGUGGGGUAAAGGCCCACCAAGCCGACGAUCUGUAGCUGGUCUGAGAGGACGACCAGCCACACUGGGACUGAGACACGGCCCAGACUCCUACGGGAGGCAGCAGUGGGGAAUUUUGGACAAUGGGCGAAAGCCUGAUCCAGCCAUGCCGCGUGCAGGAUGAAGGCCUUCGGGUUGUAAACUGCUUUUGUACGGAACGAAAAGGACUGCCCUAAUACGGUGGUCCCAUGACGGUACCGUAAGAAUAAGCACCGGCUAACUACGUGCCAGCCGCCGCCGUAA